rnacentral:rRNA from 1 species
CGUGUAGGCGGCCGGACAAGUCAGAUGUGAAAUCCCUGGGCUCAACCCAGGAAGUGCAUUUGAAACUGUUCGGCUAGAGUAGGGGAGAGGGAAGUGGAAUUCCUGGUGUAGAGGUGAAAUUCGUAGAUAUCAGGAGGAACACCGGUGGCGAAGGCGACUUCCUGGCCCUAUACUGACGCUGAGACGCGAGAGCGUGGGGAGCAAACAG